GACAGAGGGUGCAAACGUUGUUCGGAAUUACUGGGCGUAAAGCGCGUGUAGGCUGCUUGGAAAGUCGGAUGUGAAAGCCCUGGGCUCAACCCAGGAAGUGCACUCGAAACUUCCGAGCUCGAGUUCUGGAGAGGAUAGCGGAAUUCUCGGUGUAGAGGUGAAAUUCGUAGAUAUCGAGAGGAACACCGGUGGCGAAGGCGGCUAUCUGGACGAUGACUGACGCUGAGACGCGAAAGCGUGGGGAGCAAACAGG
rnacentral:rRNA from 1 species